rnacentral:rRNA from 1 species
AUUGAACGCUGGCGGAAUGCUUUACACAUGCAAGUCGAACGGCAGCACGGACUUCGGUCUGGUGGCGAGUGGCGAACGGGUGAGUAAUGUAUCGGAACGUGCCCAGUCGUGGGGGAUAACGUAGUGAAAAUUACGCUAAUACCGCAUACGAUCUAUGGAUGAAAGCGGGGGAUCGCAAGACCUCGCGCGAUUGGAGCGGCCGAUAUAAGAUUAGGUAGUUGGUGGGGUAAAGGCCCACCAAGCCAACGAUCUGUAGCUGGUCAGAGAGGACGACCAGCCACACUGGAACUGAGACACGGUCCAGACUCCUACGGGAGGCAGCAGUGGGGAAUUUUGGACAAUGGGCGAAAGCCUGAUCCAGCCAUUCCGCGUGCAGGAUGAAGGCCCUCGGGUUGUAAGCUGCUUUUGUACGGAACGAAAAGGUUUCUACUAAUACUAGGAGCUCAUGACGGUACUGUAAGAAUAAGCACCGGCUAACUACGUGCCAGCCGCCGCCGUAA